rnacentral:rRNA from 1 species
AGGGAAUCUUCCGCAAUGGACGAAAGUCUGACGGAGCAACGCCGCGUGAGUGAUGAAGGUUUUCGGAUCGUAAAACUCUGUUGUUAGGGAAGAACAAGUACCGUUCGAAUAGGGCGGUACCUUGACGGUACCUAACCAGAAAGCCACGGCUAACUACGUGCCAGCAGCCGCGGUAAUACGUAGGUGGCAAGCGUUGUCCGGAAUUAUUGGGCGUAAAGCGCGCGCAGGCGGUUUCUUAAGUCUGAUGUGAAAGCCCACGGCUCAACCGUGGAGGGUCAUUGGAAACUGGGAGACUUGAGUGCAGAAGAGGAGAGUGGAAUUCCACGUGUAGCGGUGAAAUGCGUAGAGAUGUGGAGGAACACCAGUGGCGAAGGCGACUCUCUGGUCUGUAACUGACGCUGAGGCGCGAAAGCGUGGGGAGCGAAC